UACGUAGGGUGCGAGCGUUGUCCGGAAUUAUUGGGCGUAAAGAGCUUGUAGGCGGUUUGUCGCGUCUGCCGUGAAAUUUCGAGGCUCAACCUCGAACUUGCGGUGGGUACGGGCAGACUAGAGUGUGGUAGGGGAGACUGGAAUUCCUGGUGUAGCGGUGAAAUGCGCAGAUAUCAGGAGGAACACCGAUGGCGAAGGCAGGUCUCUGGGCCACUACUGACGCUGAGACGCGAAAGCGUGGGGAGCGAACAGG
rnacentral:rRNA from 1 species